rnacentral:lncRNA from 12 species
CAGACAGGCCUUUGAUUCUAAUCUCCUGUCGACGUCACCCUGAUGUCAUCCCCACUCUGCCCCUGCCCCCGAACGAUAUACUGCACAACACUCUACAAAGAUGCAGGAUCUACUCUGGGAGGAUCCCCAUUUCAAGGCCCAGCGCAAAUAUCUCCUGUGCUCGCCCAUCCCCCGGGGAAAGAUGAGUUAGUUUCUCUUCCAUUCUCCCCAGAGCAAUGGUGGCACGGGCCACUAUGACAAUGCCCACACAGUUCUGCACCUUUUAUGUCCCAAGCUGAACUGAGAAAACCAGAUACGCCAAGAGCAGCUCAAGGGCACUGGGAGCAUCCAGGAGCAAGGUGGGAGGGCAAGCUCUUGAGAGGGUGCAUGAUGAGGUGAGGCAAGGGUUGGUUUUUAGUGAGAAGAAAAGCAGCUUAUCAGGCCCUGGUCACCAGGCCCCUCAGGUGCCCCAGUAUGCCCAUUUCUCUGGUUGGUUCUGCAGCAUGCACCAGAGUGCUAAUUCUGGGAAGCAGGGAUUCCGAAUUCUCCAGGUGGACCUAAUCUGAUCGCCAGCUUGCUUCCUCUGUCUCGUCCUCAGAGAGCCUCCCAUCUUCCUUCAUCUUUGCUCUCUUUCUGGUCCAAAGCAACUUCCUGGAGCUGGUGGGCCUUGACCCAGGUCUCCUGGAUCUACACAUACUGUUCAUCCACCUACUUUUCAUCAAAAGGCUCCUUCCCUCCAUCCCCUGCUGCCCUCCAAGGUGGUACACCAGCCAGACAGGACUCACAGUGCAUUCUUUCUCCGUGCCCUCUGGCCUCUGCUAUCUCCCUAAUCUCUCCUGGACACCGCAGUACACACGUAUUCACACUUGUUGGUAUCUGAAGGCCCUGGCUUCCCUGUGCUACACUUGGUAUCAGUAUCAAGGUCAGGUAGAAAACCAAAUGUGAAGCUUUGGUUGCCACCCACGCGGAGUGGCCGAUGCUGGCUCUGACUCAUGGGAAAUCACUCUGAGUUUUGAGUGUUGGCACAUCAGGGAAUGGAGAAGAAGGGGAAGGAAAGGCCAUGGCAUGAAAGCCAGGAGAAAACGACUCCCCUGCACAGUGUCUCUGCAGAGAAGUUGUGGAAACCGCCCCUCCUCAUUUGGGGGAGAUGGGAUGCCCAGAGAAGACCCUAAUGAAAAGAAGCAAGGUUUCCAUUGUCCCCUCUGAAACCCAACGCCUUUGGGGUCUGAGUUUUCCAAGACAUGCAAUAGACAAAGAC